GUUCUAUAUCAGAAUCUUCAUAUUUUAUUUUUACUUUUUUCUUUUUCUUUUUCAGGUUAAACAUUUCAAACAGGAUUAACUUCAGUAGAGUUAAAGAAUCUGUUGAAACUAGACCUUCAAUUCUCUUCACAACUUGCUGCAAUAGUAUACAGCUUACAUCAAAUUUACAGAUCAAACAUUUUAGAUAGUAAAUACUGGAUGAUAUAAAUAAAAACAGUGCUGUACAAACUAUUUUGUGAGACAUUUUAACAUGGCAAUGCAUUUUUUUUUUAUGUUUAUAUAUAAUUUUUAUUAAAAGUAUUUCUAUCUAAAGUUUUUAUUGUUAAUAUCAUCAUAAUCAAUCUAGCGUUUCUUCUUUGGCUUCUUUGCAUCUCUUGUUGCGUCAUGAAGAUUUUCAGUUGGCGUCACAGGAG
rnacentral:lncRNA from 1 species